rnacentral:rRNA from 1 species
AGGGUUUGAUCAUGGCUCAGAUUGAACGCUGGCGGAAUGCUUUACACAUGCAAGUCGAACGGCAGCACGGAGAGCUUGCUCUCUGGUGGCGAGUGGCGAACGGGUGAGUAAUAUAUCGGAACGUGUCCAAUAAUGGGGGAUAACGAGUCGAAAGAUUCGCUAAUACCGCAUACGCCCUACGGGGGAAAGCAGGGGAUCGUAAGACCUUGCGUUAAUGGAGCGGCCGAUAUCUGAUUAGCUUGUUGGUGAGGUAAAGGCUCACCAAGGCGACGAUCAGUAGCUGGUUUGAGAGAACGACCAGCCACACUGGAACUGAGACACGGUCCAGACUCCUACGGGAGGCAGCAGUGGGGAAUUUUGGACAAUGGGGGCAACCCUGAUCCAGCCAUUCCGCGUGAGUGAAGAAGGCCUUCGGGUUGUAAAGCUCUUUCGCAAGGGAAGAAAACUUAUGAUCGAAUAAAUCAUGAGGUUGACGGUACCUUGAUAAGAAGCACCGGCUAACUACGUGCCAGCAGCCGCGGUAAUACA